AGAAAGUUUCUACUAAACUGUUAGAUGGACAGCUUGGCUUGAGUUGCUAUGAAGGACGUAGCAAGCUGCGAUAAGUCUUGGCGAGGCGCAUGCAGCCUUUGAACCAAGAAUUUCUGAAUCCGAUUAGGACUCUUCGGAGUGUAUCGCAAGAUAGGCCGACGCGGGGAAUUGAAACAUCUUAGUACCCGCAGGAAAAGAAAACAAAAGUGAUUCCCCAAUUAGCAGCGAGCGAAAAGGGAACAGAGCAAACUGAAUCUCUUUGUGAAAGCGAAGAGAGAUGUGGUGUUGCAGAAAUCCGUGCGAAAGCGGCUUUUCCUCAUCAGUGAGUCAAACUCUGCUGGAAUGCAGGGCCAUAGAGGGUGAUAGCCCCGUAGAUAAAACUGGAAGGAAGAGUGGAUUUUCUAGAGUAGUACCUCCUGGAUACGAGGUACGAACUUGCUCUACUAAGAGCAAACUCUAAAUAUAAACUCAAGUCCGAUAGCGAAUAGUACUGUAAAGGAACGCUGAAAAGCACUUUUGGUAGAGAGUUAAAAGAGCUUGAAAUCUAACAGUGACACUCUCGCUACGGACUCCUGCUCGAAAGAGACAGGGUUUGUAGCAUACGUUUUGAAAAACGGGCCAGGGAGUUUAGUCAAGUGGCAAGGUUAAGCGCAAGCGGAGCCGAAGCGAAAGCGAAUCUCUUUGAGAGCCUCUGAAAGGGGGUAAGUCACUUGGCUAUGACCCGAAUCCGGGUGAUCUACUCGUGGGUAAGGUGAAGCCCCUCUAACGAGGGGUGGAGGCCUGAACCAGUGUUAUGUACAUGUACUUGGAUGACCUAUGAGUAGGGGUGAAAAGCCAAUCUAACCCGGUGAUAGCUGGUUCCUGCCGAAAUAUGCCUAAGUAUAGCCUCUUGUUGCUCGCGCAUAUAGUAAAGACACGGAUGGAGAAUGCAGGGCGUUACGCUACGGUUCUCUUUCCAACUCAGAAAAUAUGCGCUGCAUUACAAGGGAGUGAGAGCGUGUGGGUAAGCUACAUGUUCACAAGCUGAUCAAAGCAACGCGUGGUUAAGGUCCCUAAAUAUAAGCUAAGUGUAACGAAAGUUGUCUGCAACCGAAGACAGCGGGGAGGUAGGCUCAGAGGCAGCCAUCCUUUAAAGAAAGCGUAACAGCUCACCCUCCAAGGUUCCGGGCGCUGAAGAUGGACGGGGCUAAGCUUAUUACCGAUACCAUGCCGCAUUCUGGAUAAGAAUGUCGGGUAGGCAGGCGUGGCGCUUGAGUUGAAGUUUUCUCAUAAGAGGAGAUGGAUCGAGUGCUAUCGAGAAUCCUGGUAGCAGUAGGAACAGACUUUGCUGAAAAAGCAAAGUGCCGCAAGAGCAAGGGUUCCUUGGCAAUGUCAAUCAACCAAGGGUUAGUCGGUCCUAAGUCGCUGCUUAACUGCAAACGGCGAAAGGAUAGAAGGUUAAUAUUCCUUCACUACUUGAUUACAUCGCAAGAAAAGCUUGCUAGAUAGCCUCGGGAUAGUCGGAGUGCAGCCGUCGCUGCACAAGGAGCGAGAAAUCUGUGGAGCGUAAUGCUGAGAAUCAGAUGAAUCUCUUCUGUAUCUGCUGAAUCCUAGGGUCCGUGAAAAGCUAUGCAAGUUGAAGUCAAGUAACCGUACCGAGAACCGGCACAGGUGCUCUAGCUAAGAAGGCUAAGGCAUGAAAGUGUAAUCUAGGUAAGGGAAUUCGGCAAUUUGGUGGCGUAAGUUAGCGAGAAGCCAUGCCUUUCUUUGGAAAAGGAAGGUUGCAAUAACAAGAGGCGCCCGACUGUUUAACAAAAACGUAGCCAAGUGCAAAGUCGAAAGGCUUAGUAUACUUGGUGAGACCUGCCCAGUUGCGGUGCUUUAAAGCCCUUUUCAAGGGGCCUAAGACCCGCAAAACGGCGGGGGUAACUAUGACCCUCAGCUUAAGGGGGCAUUAAAAUUUGGCUAUAUGCGGGAAACUCUCGUUAAGUCUUUGGUACUCGAUUUACGAGUAAAAAUCCAAAGAAUAGAGACAAUCCGCAGG
rnacentral:rRNA from 1 species